UUCCUCUUCUAAAACCGCUGGAAGGAAUGUCUCUAGCUCACACCGCAGGCCAUCUUUUGCUGAUACUGCAGCUGAUAGAACCCAGGAAGACUCUGGGCAAUGCCCACUCUCUGUGCCUCAACCUCACUGUCAAAUCUCAGUCCAGACCUGGCCAGCCCUGGUGUCAAGUCCAGGGCUCCGUGGACACAAAGCCUUUCCUCCAGUGUGACAGUGACAGCAACAAGGUCAGACCUUUGGGUUUCCUGGGGGAGGAGGUAAUGACACCAAAGCGUGGACUGAACUGAGCCAGACGGUGGGAGAAGCCGGAAGAGAGCUCAGGAUGGUCCUGCCUGUCAUCAAACUGGACAAAAAGGAGAUGAGGGGUCCUCCCUCCCUGCAGGUCAGGCUGUGUUGUCAGCGUGAAGCCGAGCAAUGCUCUGGUGGGUCUUUGCACUUCAGCCUCAAUGGACGGACAGCCCUCCUCCUUGACAACAUGAACAUAACCUGGACAGGCAUCGAUCCUGGAGCCACAGGCCUCAAGAAGGAGUGGGAGAACAACCAGGAACUGGCAGAGUACUUCAGGAAGAUCUCAACGGGAGACUGCAGUUAUUGGCUUAGGGAAUUCCUGGAACACUGGGAGAACAUGCUGCUCCCAGAGCCACAGAGAGGGCGACUGCACUGAACUGGCUAACAGAGAACACUGCUGACCUCAGAAACACCUAAAAACAACUCUCAAACCAAGAGGAUGUUUGAGCUCAUACAUUCAUACCAGGACGAGAGGAAGACAAGAUCGGAAAAAAUUUUAACCUUUCAGUUUUCGGUAACGUCUAGACAAACUUGAAGUUUUCUCCUGUCAGGAAUAUAUUCAGGGUUGCAGAGAAUUCAAUCAUAAAUUGUACCUUUUUUGCCCAAUGAGAAUCACAUGAAUGUUUAUUGAAGGUCCUUUAUUUUAGGGGCUCAAAUGUGUUGAAGUCCUUACCAUCAGGUGAAGGAGACCUCACCUGGAAAUAGGGUGUGUGCAGAUGUAAUCCAACCAAGGUGAGGUCAGGGUGGAUUAGGGUGGGCUCUAAGCCAGUGACUGGUGCCUUUACCAGUAGAGAGAAAUGUGGACACGCAAAGAAGAGUUGGAUACAGGAAGACAAGACCCACAGGAAGAGUGUCAUGGAAGGACAGAAUUAGACACGAGCUCCGCAACGCCAAGGGUUUCCGGGAACCACAGAGCUGUGCACGGUCCCUCGGUCGUGUCCGUCUCUUUGCGGCCCCAUGGACUGCAGCCCACUAGGCUCCUCUGUCCAUGGAUUCUUCAGGCAAGAAUACUGGGGUGGGUUGCCAUUUCCUUCUCCAUGCAACCACCAGUAGUCAGGAAGAGACAAGAUGGAGCCUCCCUUAGAGCCUUCAGAGAGGGCCCUACUGACACCUUGAUUUCUGACUUCUAACCCUCACAACCUUGAAAG